rnacentral:misc_RNA from 1 species
CUCCUCCUUCGUCCAUUCCUCUGGUGCAAGGUUUGUCCGGCUCUGGCCUCUGGUUCUUCUGCUUUGAAAGGUCCGUCUCUGCCUCUUCGUCUCUGGUCUGGUGUGCCGCGCCGUCCUGUUCGGCAGCCUCAGCUACGGCGCCAUCCCGGUCGAAUCUCAUCGCAGCUGAUCCCUCUGGAUCUCGUCCGCGGCAACGGCGCCAUCCCGGCCGAAUCUCGUCAGCGUAGCUGGUCCCUUCGGAUCUCGUCUGCGCACGGCACAGCUGCUCUGUCUCAUGAUUUAAAGCGCAGCUGGUCCCUCUGGAGAUUUAUUUUUGGAGAUAAUAG